rnacentral:misc_RNA from 1 species
GAUGAAGAACGUAGCGAAAUGCGAUAAGUAAUGUGAAUUGCAGAAUUCAGUGAAUCAUCGAAUCUUUGAACGCACAUUGCGCCCGCCAGUAUUCUGGCGGGCAUGCCUGUUCGAGCGUCAUUUCAACUAUCAAGCCCCCGGCUUGUGUUGGGGACCUGCGGCUGCCGCAGGCCCUGAAAACCAGUGGCGGGCUCGCUAGUCACUCCGAGCGUAGUAAUACAUCUCGCUCAGGGCGUGCUGCGGGUUCCGGCCGUUAAAAAGCCUUAUUUACCCAAGGUUGACCUCGGAUCAGGUAGGAAGACCCGCUGAACUUAAGCAUAUCAAUAAGCGGAGGA